GGUGCGUGUAUCGUUUGUAGCUUUUUACACAAGCAAGUGGAUGAAAUCUGUCUUGGUGGUUAUUUCGCCCCUUUCCGGCGCCAAUGCACUAUACUGUAUAUCGACAGCUACUCGAAGUGGAUUUCAAAACUUAGUAAGCACUACCACAAACAAAUUUCAUAUACUUCCCAAUCGUUUAGAAUGACUUUAAAUUUUCAAAUUUGAUUAUUCAAGACUACAGAUUUUCUACAAAAGAAAUUCAAGUCCAGACCUAUUGCUUUAAGGAAUGCUCUCGAAAGUUAACUGGCUAAAGUGUUCCUAUUGUUUCACAACAUAACCUAUUCUAGAAGGUACUUAUUAUUUUCAUUAUUAUUGAUUGUACUUACACCUAUUGACUAGCUAUAUUUCGAUGAAUAAACUCUUUAACAUCC